rnacentral:rRNA from 1 species
GAUGAACGCUGGCGGCGUGCCUAAUACAUGCAAGUCGAGCGAACGGACGAGAAGCUUGCUUCUCUGAUGUUAGCGGCGGACGGGUGAGUAACACGUGGAUAACCUACCUAUAAGACUGGGAUAACUUCGGGAAACCGGAGCUAAUACCGGAUAAUAUUUUGAACCGCAUGGUUCAAAAGUGAUAGACGGUCUUGCUGUCACUUAUAGAUGGAUCCGCGCUGCAUUAGCUAGUUGGUAAGGUAACGGCUUACCAAGGCAACGAUGCAUAGCCGACCUGAGAGGGUGAUCGGCCACACUGGAACUGAGACACGGUCCAGACUCCUACGGGAGGCAGCAGUAGGGAAUCUUCCGCAAAGGGCGAAAGCCUGACGGAGCAACGCCGCGUGAGUGAUGAAGGUCUUCGGAUCGUAAAACUCUGUUAUUAGGGAAGAACAUAUGUGUAAGUAACUGUGCACAUCUUGACGGUACCUAAUCAGAAAGCCACGGCUAACUACGUG